CUGCAGCUCAAGUGGUGAUCAUUAUUAUUGGGCCUAAAACGUCCGUAGCCUGUUUAGUAAAUGCCUGGGUAAAUCGUGUAGCUUAACUAUACGAAUUCCGGGUAGACUGCUAAACUUGAGACCGGGAGAGGCUAGAGGUACUCCUGGGGUAGAGGUGAAAUUCUGUAAUCCUAGGGGGACCACCAGUGGCGAAGGCGUCUAGCUAGAACGGGUCUGACGGUGAGGGACGAAGCCCUGGGGCACAAACCGGAUUAGAUACCCGCGUAGUCC
rnacentral:rRNA from 1 species